GGGGCUGAUAUAGCUUUCGACACUAGGACUUUAACAGACCGUACCAGCACACCGACUUCUGACGUAAUCAGAAUUAAUAAUUGCAACUCAAAAACUUGCAGCGCAGUUCCGUGAUGUCCGCGAUAUUCUCGCAGGCAUGCGUACUGCACCAGUUCUGGCCUAAGUCGCCGAACCGCUUCGGACUAGAUUUCUGCUAUAGUCACGAAGUGUCAUAUUUAGCAGGAUCGGUUUUUGUCGAUGUCGCAUCGGCGAACUCUUAAAAUUUUGCGACCUAGACGUUCGUAUGUUUGUCUUAUUUUUAGCGCGCGUUUAGCCAUUUCUCGAAUAAGACUAUGUGUGUAGACGGACGGUAGGUUGCCUAGUGGACCCGGGGGCGGUACCCGGCAGCUCCACCA
rnacentral:tmRNA from 1 species